rnacentral:lncRNA from 7 species
AAGCGAUGGAGGACCCCUAUUCAGAGAAAACAGGAGGCUCCUCAGCAAUGCUGCUUUUCCAAUGGCAGCCACUCUAAGAAAUUCCUGUUUCCACCUUCCUCAAGCCAUGGCUUUCUGCACCUGGAUGUCAGCUCCGUUCUUUGAGCUGGGCACUCCUGAACCUGUUGUACUUCAGAAGUUGUAUUUUCCCUGGAGAAGCAGCAGAAACCCAGCCACCAUGUGUUCCUUGUGCUACACCAUGCUAGAGGGAUACAACAACUCAGUGACUGGUGCCAAAUGAUUGUUCCAUGUAUCCGUGCAUCAGUGAUUUGGGGAGGACAGAAGAGGAAAUGGUUCAUUUUGAAGAUGUGCCAUGAUAGGCAAUUCGAGCUUGCUUAUCUUUUCACACAUGCCAGCUUGGAUAACCUGGGUGGAAAGCUGAAGUGAAGCAAAGACCUCAGCCUCUCACAGCUCUGGCAGCAGUCACCAGUGCCCUGCUGGAGCUGAGCUCUUGGGGAACACCUUGACCCCAGACUAAGGACUGGAGGUGACUGCUACACUGCUGUUUUAGGGAUCUUGAGAACUGUAAGUGCUCUAUUUCCUAGAGCAAACAAAAAAUGCUGCUCCUGUCUGCCCUUCAGAGGCACCCAGGAGGCAUCCAAGUCAGCCCCUAGUUUUGGGAAUGAGUUUGCCCUGUUCCCUGGGAUAUGAUGGUCUGCCACUCAGGAGGAGUUCACGGAGCACGCCAUAUUCCUGACUGCCCAGUAGUAUUCUAUCAGCUCAAUAUAGGCCUGAUGUCGUAUUAAGGAGAAAAGCUUUCCGGCCAGCAGUAGUGAUGCGUGAAGUUUCCUCAUUGACGGACCACAGAAUGCUUUGGGGCUGUUGGAAGAUGGGUUUUGUAUGCAGCACAUUUUGCAUCUCGGUGUUGUUCUCCAGAGCUGUUUGCUAGCAAAUUGCCAGGAUUUGAAAUUCAGGUAGGUUGCAGGAUGAAAAAAUAUCCUUCCCCACAUUGCUAUGACCUUUUUGGUGGUUUAUUUGUUAAAGGCAUUACUGUUCCCCUCGGGAAUGGUGCCUUCCUCUGUUUUAUGCUCUAAGGAUGUGGCUCUUUUCAUGUUUAUCUUUGAUUCAAGCAUUGUAAAGAGCAAUCCCUCGCACUUAUGUGCUUCAUUGUAUUCUGGCCAUGAGAGAUUCUCCCCCACUGUUUGUAGCCUUUUUUCAGUGCAGCUAGUAAAAUAUUUGAACAGAAAAAAGAAAAAAAAAAAAAAAAAGAAAAAAGGAAAGAAAAAAAAAAGAAAGAAAGAAAAGAAAAAGAGACACUAAACAGCUUCCAGCAUUUAGAGGAUAAAAUGAGAUGUAAGGAAAAGGAUGACUGUGGUUAAUGCACAGGGCUGGGAGGCCUCAGAUGGACCACGGCCUCUCUUCGUUUCUCUUCUCACUUCCUCUGUGACUUUGUCUAAGUUAUUUGACCUCCUCCUGCUGUAGCUCUGGGGUGUUAAACACACGCUGUGUUUUCUGCUUGGAAAACCCAAGCUUGCUGUCCCCAGAGAGCUCAGCGCUGCCCCUCUGCUCCCUAUGAGGAGCUGUAUGGCCAUGAGCCCUCAGCAUCCUCUGCUCUGCUCCCAGCAAACCCAGGGCCCUCAGCUGCCCCUCACACCCCUUGUCCGCCCAUGUGAAUGCCUGUCAGCAUGUGAUACAGCCUGGUUUUCUUCCCUGAUUUCAGGUGACACAUGGAAGCUGAUUUGCACAGGGUGGAUGCAAACCAAGGGCUCAUCCACUGAAAAAUAAUUAAGCUUCACUUGGUUACAGCAGGCAAGCUGGAAUACAAAGAUCCUAAGGCUGGUUAUGGGAGGGUGGUUAAGGGGACACCUCCAGUGGGCAAGGGUCUGUUGUAGUCCAGAUAAGCCCUCACAAUUCAGAGUUUUCUUAAAUUUCUGGGGCAUAAUGGCACAGCUGGCGACAGAGCACCAAGUGAAUAUUUGACAUAAAUAAACCAGUGUUCCUACGUGGGAGAAGGGCAGAGGGAGCCUGUGAAU